UACGGGGGGGGGCAAGCGUUGUUCGGAAUUACUGGGCGUAAAGGGCUCGUAGGUGGCCAACUAAGUCAGACGUGAAAUCCCUCGGCUUAACCGGGGAACUGCGUCUGAUACUGGAUGGCUUGAGUUUGGGAGAGGGAUGCGGAAUUCCAGGUGUAGCGGUGAAAUGCGUAGAUAUCUGGAGGAACACCGGUGGCGAAGGCGGCAUCCUGGACCAACACUGACGCUGAGUGAGCGAAAGCCAGGGGAGCAAACGGGG
rnacentral:rRNA from 1 species